GAGGAGGAAGGAGAGGAAGAGGAAGAGGAGGAGGGGUGCAGAUGCGUGGUGGUGGAGUAGGGGGAAGAGGGCGAGGAGUGCGUAGGCAUCACACUGUCCCCGAUGAAAUUCGAGCCACCAUUAUUGACCAUGUAGUCAAUCAUGGCCUAACCAUGGCAGAGGCAGGGUGCCGAGUGCAGCCUAACGUGCCACGCUCUACAGUCUCCUCCAUCAUACAACCCUUUCGCAGGGAAAACAGAAUUGGGCGACAGCCUCCUUUGGGCGGUAGAAGGAGAUUGCUCACAGAUCCCCAGGAACAAGCCAUCUGCAACAUGGUUAUACAAAACAAUGCCAUCACACUCACACAGAUCCGCAAUGCAGUCCUUCAAGACGAAUCCAUCUUCCACAAUAUCAACUCCAUUAGCAUCUCAACCAUAGACCGGGUACUGAAGUGAAAUCAUAUGACCAUGAAACAAAUAUACAGGGUACCAUUCGACAGGAACACAGAGAGGGUGAAAGAACUGCGGUACCAGUAUGUGCAGAGAAUAAUUGCAUUGGAGGGGAUUGAAACACCUCAUCUCCUGGUGUUUGUAGAUGAGGCUGGUUUCAAUC